GAUGAACGCUGGCGGCGUGCCUAAUACAUGCAAGUCGAACGCAUAGCGAAAGGUGCUUGCACCUUUCAAGUGAGUGGCGAACGGGUGAGUAACACGUGGACAACCUGCCUCAAGGCUGGGGAUAACAUUUGGAAACAGAUGCUAAUACCGAAUAAAACUUAGUGUCGCAUGACACAAAGUUAAAAGGCGCUUCUGCGUCACCUAGAGAUGGAUCCGCGGUGCAUUAGUUAGUUGGUGGGGUAAGGGCCUACCAAGACAAUGAUGCAUAGCCGAGUUGAGAGACUGAUCGGCCACAUUGGGACUGAGACACGGCCCAAACUCCUACGGGAGGCUGCAGUAGGGAAUCUUCCACAAUGGGCGAAAGCCUGAUGGAGCAACGCCGCGUGUGUGAUGAAGGCUUUCGGGUCGUAAAGCACUGUUGUAUGGGAAGAACAGCUAGAAUAGGAAAUGAUUUUAGUUUGACGGUACCAUACCAGAAAGGGACGGCUAAAUACGUG
rnacentral:rRNA from 1 species